rnacentral:rRNA from 1 species
GAUGAACGCUAGCGGCAGGCCUAAUACAUGCAAGUCGAACGGUGGCAGCAACGUCACAGUGGCGCACGGGUGCGUAACGCGUAGGCAAUCUGCCUACUCCUGGGGGAUAGCCCGCCGAAAGAUGGAUUAAUACCGCAUAGGACUACAGGGCGGCAUCGUCUAGUAGUUAAAGAAUUUCGGGAGUAGAUGAGCCUGCGUGCCAUUAGCUAGUUGGUGCGGUAACGGCGAACCAAGGCGACGAUGGCUAGGGGAGCUGAGAGGCCGAUCCCCCACACUGGCACUGAGAUACGGGCCAGACUCCUACGGGAGGCAGCAGUAGGGAAUAUUGGGCAAUGGGCGCGAGCCUGACCCAGCCAUGCCGCGUGACGGAUGAAGGCCUUCUGGGUUGUAAACGUCUUUUGAUCGGGAAGAAAAAGCCCUUGCGAGGGAAAUCGACGGUACCGAUUGAAUAAGCACCGGCUAACUCCGUGCCAGCCGCCGCAGUAAAAC